UAACUCAAAUAAAUCAGUUGCCUUCCUC
rnacentral:piRNA from 1 species